CAGAAAGCAGCUCUUCUUUAGAUCGCCGUCACAAGCAGAAAGCAUGCAGUCUGAUGUUUUUCACACAUUAUCUGGAAACACAUGCUAGUGAACUCAGACUAACACCCAUGCUUUCUGCAUUCUGGAUUAUCUAUGUGGAUAAAGAGUGACUCUUGGACAUUUCUGCUUGAGCUCAUCAUAUCUUAGAGGUUGACAGCAUGAACUACAUCUCUCAGACCGUGCAAGAUCAGGUCUCCAAGCUGUUGAAGCCUCAUAGGGUCUGCCUAGUGACACCAGUUCUUCUGCACCAGUCCAACCAGUCAUGUGGGAGAUCAGGCAGCAAGUUUGUAGUGUUAAGUCUGUGGAGAGGCUACGUGGUCACGAAAAAGCAGCCACUCCGAGUGGAGAGCACAUUUAGCUAUCUGGAGAUUUCUUCCAUCAACAUUCA